rnacentral:rRNA from 1 species
AACGAACGCUGGCGGCAUGCCUAACACAUGCAAGUCGAACGAGACCUUCGGGUCUAGUGGCGCACGGGUGCGUAACGCGUGGGAACCUGCCCUUAGGUUCGGAAUAACUCCCCGAAAGGGGUGCUAAUACCGGAUAAUGUCUUCGGACCAAAGAUUUAUCGCCUUUGGAUGGGCCCGCGUUGGAUUAGCUAGUUGGUAGGGUAAAAGCCUACCAAGGCGACGAUCCAUAGCUGGUCUGAGAGGAUGAUCAGCCACACUGGGACUGAGACACGGCCCAGACUCCUGCGGGAGGCAGCAGUGGGGAAUAUUGGACAAUGGGCGAAAGCCUGAUCCAGCAAUGCCGCGUGAGUGAUGAAGGCCUUAGGGUUGUAAAGCUCUUUUACCCGGGAUGGUAAUGACAGUACCGGGAGAAUAAGCUCCGGCUAACUCCGUG